UACGGGGGGAGCAAGCGUUGUUCGGAUUUACUGGGCGUAAAGGGCGCGUAGGCGGCCACCGCAAGUCAGUUGUGAAAUCUCCGGGCUUAACCCGGAAAGGUCAACUGAUACUGCGGGGCUAGAGUGCAGAAGGGGCAACUGGAAUUCUCGGUGUAGCGGUGAAAUGCGUAGAUAUCGAGAGGAACACCUGCGGCGAAGGCGGGUUGCUGGGCCGACACUGACGCUGAUGCGCGAAAGCCAGGGGAGCGAACGGG
rnacentral:rRNA from 1 species